GAGUCUGAAUAGGGCGUUGAGUAUUUGGUCGUAGACCCGAAACCAGGUGAUCUACCCAUGGUCAGGUUGAAGUUCAGGUAACACUGAAUGGAGGACCGAACCGACUUACGUUGAAAAGUGAGCGGAUGAACUGUGGGUAGCGGAGAAAUUCCAAUCGAACUUGGAGAUAGCUGGUUCUCUCCGAAAUAGCUUUAGGGCUAGCCUCAAGUGAUGAUUAUUGGAGGUAGAGCACUGUUUGGACGAGGGGCCCCUCUCGGGUUACCGAAUUCAGACAAACUCCGAAUGCCAAUUAAUUUAACUUGGGAGUCAGAACAUGGGUGAUAAGGUCCGUGUUCGAAAGGGAAACAGCCCAGACCACCAGCUAAGGUCCCAAAAUAUAUGUUAAGUGGAAAAGGAUGUGGCGUUGCCCAGACAACUAGGAUGUUGGCUUAGAAGCAGCCAUCAUUUAAAGAGUGCGUAAUAGCUCACUAGUCGAGUGACACUGCGCCGAAAAUGUACCGGGGCUAAACAUAUUACCGAAGCUGUGGAUUGUCCGUAGGACAAUGGUAGGAGAGCGUUCUAAGGGCGUUGAAGCAUGAUCGCAAGGACAUGUGGAGCGCUUAGAAGUGAGAAUGCCGGUGUGAGUAGCGAAAGACGGGUGAGAAUCCCGUCCACCGAUUGACUAAGGUUUCCAGAGGAAGGCUCGUCCGCUCUGGGUUAGUCGGGUCCUAAGCUGAGGCCGACAGGCGUAGGCGAUGGAUAACAGGUUGAUAUUCCUGUACCACCUAGCAUCGUUUUAAUCGAUGGGGGGAC
rnacentral:rRNA from 1 species